rnacentral:rRNA from 1 species
CGAUGCCUUACGUGCAGUCCAACAUGUGAAUUAGUUUGAACACAUACGGUGGGCUUGAGGUGUUCCACACCUCGGCUCGCCUCUGGUUUCUGAGGCGGACGACGAAGUGCGUUCUCCUCGGUGCCAAAACUCAAACCCCGACGCUGAAUGCGUCAAGGAAUUUUAACUUUGCUCUGAGCGCACCUGCAUGGCACCGGAGACGGUUAUCGUGCGGGUUGUGUUUUGACACAUUAUAUAGAAUGACUCUCGGCAACGGAUAUCUAGGCUCUUGCAUCGAUGAAGAACGUAGCGAAAUGCGAUACUUGGUGUGAAUUGCAGAAUCCCGUGAACCAUCGAGUCUUUGAACGCAAGUUGCGCCCGAUGCCAUUAGGUUGAGGGCACGUCUGCCUGGGUGUCACAUAUCGAAGCCUCCUGCCAAUUUCCUUUUGACAGGUCUUGUGCAGGGUGGAUGUUGGCCUCCCGUGAGCUCUUUCGUCUCAUGGUUGGUUGAAAAUUGAGACCUUGGUAGGGUGUGCCAUGAUAAAUGGUGGUUGUGUGACCCACGAGACCAAUCAUGCGCCGCUCAAUUGAAUUUGGCCUCUUUUACCCGUAUGCGUUUCUAAAUGCUCGUGAUGAGACCUCA